CAAGAUGUGUAGCAGGAGCCCCAGAUGAGCACCUCAAAGCUUGAGAAGGCAGUAACCUGCCAGGUGCAGGUUGCUAUUCUGUUUUUUCAUUUGGUUUAAAAUGAGGGAACAUUGGUUCCAGGUGUGAUGCUCCCUCACCUCAAGCUAUUGACACAGUGCCUGGAAUUUGGUACUUAAGCAGGGAUAGGCAUACUGAGAAAAUAAGAAAAAACAUUGGUGAAGUAAAAUUCUUGGUCCUCUGCUAAUGUAGGAGACAUGAGGGGGAAAAGGACCUGUUUAGGUUUUGGUUGCUCCCUCCCCACUCCUUUUUUUUUGUUGUUGUUGUUAAAUUGCAUUUUGUAAUAUGGAGUGUUUUCACCUUACAACUCCAAAAACUGGUUGGAAAGAACAAUUGUUCAGACAGUGGGGAAUUCAUGGAGGUCGAGUGGAUAGCAUUAUCCAGAGGGAAAAGCAAGCACUGAGUGUCUCAAAAAAGUUUCCUUGAAAUUAUAGGAAGUGCACUUUCUGUAACUCCAGAACUAGUAGUAGAAAAGAAAAAAAGAGGUAGAGAGAAAUCAGCCAGUUAGGAUUACAAAAACAUUAGAAAAGACAGAACUUAAUAUUUCAUGAUUGUGCCAGUAUUAUGCAAGCAAAGGACAGCAUUGUGUAAGUUAGAAACCACAGCACGGCCUUGUUGCCUUGGCUGCAUGGAGAAAAGUGGAGGAAACUGUAAAUACUGUUGUAUGCAACUUUCCCUUCCCCUUCUGCCACAUCCAACAUAAAAGAAGUAAAACACAAUAGCAUUCAGUAUCCCACAACCUCUUGGUAUAUUUAGCUUUUUAGGCAAGCAGCCCAUCACUCUACAAACUGGACAGUGCCCAGGGACUGGAGUGUUCCAGCAGAUCCCCAUCUUGUUAAACUGAGCCCAAACAAGCCCAGGUGGAAACACUUGUUCUUCAAAACAGUACGCAGAGACAUAGCAGUCUAGGUGAGCUGCGGGGAAAGUGAAGGUAAAGCUUUUCCUGAAACCUGCCUUGCUAUCUGCUGUAGGGUGUGCUGCCUGAAUCCCAGGUUUGCACAGAGCCAUGUGUCUGUAAGCCCUGGGUGCUGCUAUGCUGUGGCUUUCAGCUUUGUGCUGGGGAGGCUGGGAAGCCAGGAGCCUGGACUUUGGCUCCAGGCAGGAGCCCUGAAGAGCAGGUGCCUGUCCACCACGUCGUGCCUUUCCUGCAGCUCCCGUGGCCUUUUGGCUGCCCCACCUUCCCCAGGGGAGACUUCUGGAGGCACUGGGUUGGAAAUGUUGGAUUUACUACCAUCCAGCUUCCUCUCCUCAAAAUGUGUCUGGUUUGGUUUUGUGAUGCAGACAGGACGUGGCUGGUUUGGUGAGCUUGCUCAUAACCAGCAUGGGCAUCUUCCAGAGAGCCAAAACCCGGGGCAAGAAGGCGGCGUGCGAGAGGAAUCAGGACAGCGCAGCAUGGCCGGGCUGAGCGUUCAGAAAUGCUGUUGAAGAUCCCAGCAUAAGCCCGGCUGUCCUCUCCUUCAUUGGAGCUUCUCCUCCACAUUGUAUCUGCAGUGGUCAUGGCUGGGACUCGGAGACUGCCUUUUCUUAGCAACAGGCUACAACUUUCUGCUCUUCUCCUGUUACCGCAGCAUCUGCAGCCUUGACACUGUUAAGGGCUGUUCAGGCAUGUCAGUCCACCAAAGCCUGAGGUUAAACAAAUGUGGCCAGCUUUUGGUUUAAUCUAAAGGCAAAUAAAAACAGA